UACGGAGGGUGCAAGCGUUAUCCGGAUUCACUGGGUUUAAAGGGUGCGUAGGAGGGUCUGUAAGUCAGCGGUGAAAUCUCCGAGCUUAACUCGGAAACUGCCAUUGAUACUAUGGAUCUUGAAUACCGUGGAGGUGAGCGGAAUAUGUCAUGUAGCGGUGAAAUGCUUAGAUAUGACAUAGAACACCAAUUGCGAAGGCAGCUCACUACACGCAUAUUGACUCUGAGGCACGAAAGCGUGGGGAUCAAGCAGG
rnacentral:rRNA from 1 species